rnacentral:lncRNA from 1 species
UUGAAUUGUAUUGUUGUCCACUUGGCCACUUGGCCAAUUAUUCAACAGUGAGGAAUGAGAGGUGCGGCAAGGAAGAUAGAGAAUUUUUCUCCAUGCAUUUUCUCUAUGCGUCUUCUCUCUAAUGGAUCUUCUCAGAUGCCUUGUCGUUUAUUGGUUGAUUGGAAAAAUUGUUGUAUUAUUCUCUCUUCCAUGCAUAUUCUGUUUUCUCACAUUUGUUGCAAAAGAAAUCAGGUGGUGGUAUGUUUGGCAAACUAUGGUGUUGAUCAUAUUGGGGUUCAAUGGUGAGAUUCUUGUCCAUUGUGUCGAGUUAUGGGUUUUGCUAUAAUCUUAUAGGAAUUCCAAAUUUUCGUUUCUCUUAGGAGUUGUCUUAAUUGUUUUUUGAUUCUAAUAGUUUUUUACUUCUUGUUAGGAUAUCGUUUCAUGUCCCCUCUAGCUUAUUGUAUAUUUAUUUUUUUCUUUAAUAUAUUCACAAUAAUUCUACGAUAGCAAUAUUGGAGUGGAAGUGAUAUUGUUCUUUUAAUAAAAAGAAAUAGGAGUGAUAAGUAUGAUAGGUUUCUGGUAGAAGUUGAAUGGCUUCAAUCUAAUUAUGCUUGUAAAAUUUUUGGUGAAAAUUAUGUUUGUAAUUUGCAUAUUGAAGAGCUAAUUAAUUUGCAGAGGAAAAUUUUCCCCAUGGAAAACCAGAUACAAAAUUUUGAAAUUUUUGUGGGAGAAAGAAAUGAAGGAGAAGUAAAGGGCCAUCGUUUGAUGUUCCAUGGCUAUCGAAGAGCAUGGACAACAACAACAACAACAAAUACUUAUCUCAUUAAGUGACUUCGGUUGUAUGAAUCUUAAAACGUCACUACGCUCGAUUUUGCGUCAAAUUUUCCGUUAGCUCCAACUUCUCCAUGUCUUUUCUUAAAGUCAAUAUUCCAAGUCUUCAUAGGUCUUUCCCUACUCAUUUUGCCCUAUGAUAAAAGAAAAUAAAUCAAGGUGUAUGGAGGAAGAAAUUAGAGAAAAUUAAAGACAAAUAUGAAUUAUGUUUUCUUUUCGUUGACGUAAAAAAAAUAAGAGUAAAUUACAUUUUCUCCCUUGGAUUUGAGUACAAUUGCAACCUCAUACAAUAUCUUUAAAAUAUUUCAAUUUUAUACACAAACUUUUAUUUUGUUGUAAUUUCAUACAUCAUUUAGUUAAAUCGUUAAUUUGACUGUUUUGUGAUGACGUAACAAAUAUAUGACCCACAUAUUUGAUGAAGUGCCAUAAAAAAAUUUGAUUAUCAAAAAUCAAUUUAAAAAAAAUAGCCCACACGCCAAUCUUCCCCCACACCACUACCCCAUUACUCCCUACUACCAACUUAGCCCACACGUCACAUGCUGAUUACAACCCACUCGUGCCUCUUCCCGUCCCCAUGUCCCUCCAUCAUAUUAAAGGACUAUAUUUGCUUGCAG